rnacentral:RNase_P_RNA from 1 species
AUGCUUGCGUAAUCGCUGUAUAUACCAUAUAUACAGAGGAAAGUCCAUGCUCACACAGGCUGCGAGGCCUGUAGUGUUCGUGCUUGACGAAAUCAUAAGUCAAGGUAACGGUUAACGUUAACGGCAGUGGAACGUCCUAAUUCGAAAGAUAUGGGUCAGUACACUUGAAAGUGCCACAGUGACGCAGUCGGGUUGGAAACGAUUCGAAUGGAACGCGGUAAACCCCACGAGUGAGCAACCCAAAAAUAGGUAGGGGCAUCCUUGAUUAGGGAAGUGAACCGAAAAAGGGACGGGUAUUUAUGCAAAUACCUGCAGAUAGAUGAUUACGACCGAUGUACAAGGCUGACCACCGUCCAAGUACAGCGGAACAGAACAUGGCUUAUCAAG